CGAAAAAACAAACCCAUAAGCAACUCAGGGCAAGGGAGGAAGCUGCUCAGAGCAGGGGAGGAAGGUGGGCUGGAAAACCUAAGGAACACAGCCCAACUUCAGUCAAGAAGGAGCAAAACACCACAGUUUAAGGGCAAAGAUAAGAGGCAGGGUACAAGCACUCAGAGCAGAGGGGGAAGCUGGACUGAAGAAAGCUAAGGAACGCAGCUCUCACUCUUGUCAGGAAGGAGCACAGCACACAAACAGUUUAGGGCAAUGAAGGAGCUGACAGGAGGGAACGAGGUUUAGGGAAAUGGCAGAGGAAAGGGAAAUCAGAUUUGAAGGGGUCUCCAGGAGCGCUCCAAAGCCCUGCCUGCACAAGCCCAUCUGUGAAACUCCCCUCACAGCGGCUGCAAACAUAGAAAUGGGGGGAUGUAAAGGUGCAGUCAAGUGCAACAUUCCGACAGAGGACUAACGGCCUCCAUGUUCUAACCGGUUGCUGUGACAACCAGUUUGUCAGUUGCUGGUAGUUUUGAAAGAUAACUGCUCAGUUGCAGUCACCUCAGGACCAACUUCCCUCUGGUAUAGUUAAUUUGCUUGUUAUGUAACCUAAGCCUGCCUUCAGAAACCUGCUUUGCUCCAAGUGCCAGAACCCAGAGGGGUUAAGUUGAAAUAAAUUCCUGUGCUGGCGAGCAGCACGCCGAGGAAAACCAAGCAAUCCCUGGCAUGAAAGUCCCUGUCUCAGCAUUGUAGCGAAGGCUUUUAGGGACUUCAAAAUUAACGAAACUAGAACAUAGCAAAGGACCCACAAACAGCAUGUGCAUUCUGCUUUAGAGUCGGGGGGCAUUGUCUGCUGAAGGAGGAGAUAAGUGAAGGGAAGGUGUUUCGAUGACUCAAGAGUUACGCCAAACAGGUGAGUGCCACUCUUGCUUCCAGGCUGAAAAUGUGAAAAGAUUCACAGGGAUAAUUAUGCGAGAGACUUGCAUGAAUAUUUGCUAUAGAUUCUUGUGUAUUUGCAAUAGAUUUGCUAGAACUGUCAUUGUAUUACUUGGUGUAUCCAUAGAGGGCAGCCAAGUAUUCUGUUGUUCUUUCUUCAUUUACUGUUCAAAACAAUUCAAGUGCAGCAGUCUUGGUCAAGUAAACCUGGUUCUGAUCCUGGUUUAAUAUCCUGGUUUAUAGUCUAUAAGAUUAAACCACAAUUUCCAAGUUUGCUUUGUUUUUUACAUCUCACCUUCCUUCCAGGUAGCUUAAGGUGACAUACGUGACCCUCACUGUCCCCACACAACAACCCCUGUGAGGCAGAUUCGUGUGUGAAUUAGGAACUUGCCCAAGAUCAGCCAGGAACUUCAUGGCUGGGUGUGGAUUUGUACCCUGGUCUCCUCAGCCUACAAGGGGUGUGGCCUAUUGACUCCAGUGGAGUCCAGAGAAGGCUCUCCCACUGCAAUUAGACUUGGGGUGGGAGAGUCUUCUGUUGACUCCAUUACAAGACUUCCCCCACCAAAUCCUAAUAGUGUGUUGUUAUUGUUUUUCUGGGGUGAGUGAUGUUCCUUAUCUUAAAACCAUUGUAAGCAGGUAGGGAACUGCCCUGCUUUCCACCCCAGCUGGACUCUGCAAGAAGAUCACCCCGCUGCCACCAAUUUGGUUUAAAAGAAAACUAAGACUUCCUUCCAGCCUAGGCACUGGCCAUGAAGGGAAAGUGUGAAGGUGUGCCCAGGUGUGCGAUGGCCACAUCCGCUCUUGCAUGCUUGCCAUCAGUGCUUAGUGGCUAUGGCAGUCCCCCUAGUUUGCAAAUGCAUCUGUAGGCUCAAAUGCACCACACUGCUCUAACCAGUGCGCCACACUGCCUGCAAUCCUAAUUUAAUUUACCUGUGGAUCCAACGGGUGUUGCAUCUGAGUGGACAUUUUUAGGAUUGCACUUUCAAAUGCCGCAGCUGGAGUUGGCAGCCCUGCCC